rnacentral:lncRNA from 1 species
GGCUUCUAUAGUCCUGAGGAGAAAAAUGACAUAUUUUGUUGCAUUAUUUAAAUAUUCCUGCUGAACAACAAAUUAAAAAUAUCCAUUAAAGGUUUAUUUGAUAUCUUCCUAAUUAUUGCCCAUUGCGCAUUUGACAAAUUAUUUACACAUUUUAAUAAUUGCGACUUUCUUUGGAAGUGACACAAAAACAAUUACUUUUUCGAAAUUCCACUGUGUAUAUGCUUUUGAAACUACAUAGCCAUUAAAAACAGUCUGUCGAAUUAAAGGUUGGGCAAUUAAUUAAGUGCAAAUUCUGUAAAACUGGACCAAGGAGAAAAUUCAUCAAACCUAUGAAAUAUGACCUAUCUUGUCCAAAAGACAAAUAUGUUUAAACAAAAGAUGAAAAUUGAUGACAAAAUUAUGGGUAGCAAAAUGCACACAGAGCAAAUAUAAGACAGCUGUACUUGGUUUCAGAGUGUUGGGU